AUUGAACGCUGGCGGCAUGCCUUACACAUGCAAGUCGAACGGUAACAGGUCUUCGGAUGCUGACGAGUGGCGAACGGGUGAGUAAUACAUCGGAACGUGCCCGAGAGUGGGGGAUAACGAGGCGAAAGCUUUGCUAAUACCGCAUACGAUCUCAGGAUGAAAGCAGGGGACCGCCAGGCCUUGCGCUCACGGAGCGGCCGAUGGCAGAUUAGGUAGUUGGUGGGAUAAAAGCUUACCAAGCCGACGAUCUGUAGCUGGUCUGAGAGGACGACCAGCCACACUGGGACUGAGACACGGCCCAGACUCCUACGGGAGGCAGCAGUGGGGAAUUUUGGACAAUGGGCGCAAGCCAGAUCCAGCCAUGCCGCGUGCAGGAUGAAGGCCUUCGGGUUGUAAACUGCUUUUGUACGGAACGAAAAGCCUCUGGUUAAUACCUGGGGUCCAUGACGGUACCGUAAGAAUAAGCACCGGCUAACUACGUGCCAGCCGCCGCGGUAACAC
rnacentral:rRNA from 1 species